rnacentral:rRNA from 1 species
CCUGCCUAUACAUGCAGUAGAACGCUGAAGAGAGGAGCUUGCUCUUCUUGGAUGAGUUGCGAACGGGUGAGUAACGCGUAGGUAACCUGCCUUGUAGCGGGGGAUAACUAUUGGAAACGAUAGCUAAUACCGCAUAACAAUGGAUGACACAUGUCAUUUAUUUGAAAGGGGCAAUUGCUCCACUACAAGAUGGACCUGCGUUGUAUUAGCUAGUAGGUGAGGUAAUGGCUCACCUAGGCGACGAUACAUAGCCGACCUGAGAGGGUGAUCGGCCACACUGGGACUGAGACACGGCCCAGACUCCUACGGGAGGCAGCAGUAGGGAAUCUUCGGCAAUGGGGGCAACCCUGACCGAGCAACGCCGCGUGAGUGAAGAAGGUUUUCGGAUCGUAAAGCUCUGUUGUAAGUCAAGAACGGGUGUGAGAGUGGAAAGUUCACACUGUGACGGUAGCUUACCAGAAAGGGACGGCUAACUACGUGCCAGCAGCCGCGGUAAUACGUAGGUCCCGAGCGUUGUCCGGAUUUAUUGGGCGUAAAGCGAGCGCAGGCGGUUUGAUAAGUCUGAAGUUAAAGGCUGUGGCUCAACCAUAGUUCGCUUUGGAAACUGUCAAACUUGAGUGCAGAAGGGGAGAGUGGAAUUCCAUGUGUAGCGGUGAAAUGCGUAGAUAUAUGGAGGAACACCGGUGGCGAAAGCGGCUCUCUGGUCUGUAACUGACGCUGAGGCUCGAAAGCGUGGGGAGCGAACAGGAUUAGAUACCCUGGUAGUCCACGCCGUAAACGAUGAGUGCUAGGUGUUGGAUCCUUUCCGGGAUUCAGUGCCGCAGCUAACGCAUUAAGCACUCCGCCUGGGGAGUACGACCGCAAGGUUGAAACUCAAAGGAAUUGACGGGGGCCCGCACAAGCGGUGGAGCAUGUGGUUUAAUUCGAAGCAACGCGAAGAACCUUACCAGGUCUUGACAUCCCGAUGCUAUUUCUAGAGAUAGAAAGUUACUUCGGUACAUCGGUGACAGGUGGUGCAUGGUUGUCGUCAGCUCGUGUCGUGAGAUGUUGGGUUAAGUCCCGCAACGAGCGCAACCCCUAUUGUUAGUUGCCAUCAUUCAGUUGGGCACUCUAGCGAGACUGCCGGUAAUAAACCGGAGGAAGGUGGGGAUGACGUCAAAUCAUCAUGCCCCUUAUGACCUGGGCUACACACGUGCUACAAUGGUUGGUACAACGAGUUGCGAGUCGGUGACGGCGAGCUAAUCUCUUAAAGCCAAUCUCAGUUCGGAUUGUAGGCUGCAACUCGCCUACAUGAAGUCGGAAUCGCUAGUAAUCGCGGAUCAGCACGCCGCGGUGAAUACGUUCCCGGGCCUUGUACACACCGCCCGUCACACCACGAGAGUUUGUAACACCCGAAGUCGGUGAGGUAACCUUUUGGAGCCAGCCGCGUAA